rnacentral:rRNA from 1 species
CACGUAGGGUGCGAGCGUUGUCCGGAAUUAUUGGGCGUAAAGAGCUCGUAGGCGGUGUGUCGCGUCGGCCGUGAAAACCUGCAGCUUAACUGUGGGCUUGCGGUCGAUACGGGCAUCACUGGAGUUCGGCAGGGGAGACUGGAAUUCCUGGUGUAGCGGUGAAAUGCGCAGAUAUCGGGAGGAACACCAAUGGCGAAGGCAGCUUGCUGGGACGGUACUGA